GAUUGGGACGAAGUCGUAACAAGGUAGCCGUACCGGAAGGUGCGGCUGGAUCACCUCCUUUCUAAGGAGCACCACGAAAAGGGUUGAGACACUGGGUCUUACCCGAGCCGUGAGGAACCGGUUGCCUGUAGUGGGCACGGUUUGGUGCACAACAAACUUUUUUGCCUGCCAGACACACUAUUGGGCUUUGAGACAACAGGCCCGUGCCCCUUUUGGGGGGUGGCAUCCGGUUGCGGGUGUCGGCGUGUUGUUGCCUCACUUUGGUGGUGGGGUGUGGUGUUUGAUUUGUGGAUAGUGGUUGCGAGCAUC
rnacentral:misc_RNA from 1 species